rnacentral:rRNA from 1 species
UACGUAGGAGACGAGCGUUGUCCGGAAUUACUGGGCGUAAAGCGCGUGUAGGCGGAUGAGCAAGUCUGCUGUGAAAGCUCCUGGCUUAACCGGGAGUGGUCGGUGGAAACUGCUCGUCUGGAGGACGGUAGAGGUAGGUAGAAUUCCCGGUGUAGUGGUGAAAUGCGUAGAGAUCGGGAGGAACAUCAGUUGCGAAGGCGGGUCUCUGGGCCGAUACUGACGCUGAGGAGCGAAAGCGUGGGGAGCGAACAGG